GAUGAACGCUGACAGAAUGCUUAACACAUGCAAGUCAUUGGCGAAGCUGCGCUUGCGCAGUCUAGCCAAGGCGGACGGGUGAGUAACGCGUAAGGAACUUGCCCUGCAGACAGGGAUAACAGACGGAAACGACUGAUAACACCUGGUAAUGUCAGGCUGGCGCAUGCCGGCCGGAUGAAAGGAGACGCUGCAGGAGGGCCUGGCGGCCUAUUAGCGAGUUGGUGGGGUAACGGCCCACCAAGGCGAGGAUCCGUAGCCGGCCUGAGAGGGUGAACGGCCACACUGGAACGGAGAGACGGCCCAGACUCCUACGGGAGGCAGCAGUGGGGAAUAUUGGACAAUGGGCGCAAGCCUGAUGCAGCCAUACCGCGUGGGUGAAGAAGGCCUUCGGGUUGUAAAGCCCUGUUGUUGGGAAAGAAAAGCAGCAGGGUAAUACCCCGCUGUUCUGACGGUACCCAAAGAAUAAGCACCGGCUAACUUCGUG
rnacentral:rRNA from 1 species